rnacentral:rRNA from 1 species
GAUGAACGCUGGCGGCGUGCCUAAUACAUGCAAGUCGAGCGAACAGAUGAGGAGCUUGCUCCUCUGACGUUAGCGGCGGACGGGUGAGUAACACGUGGAUAACCUACCUAUAAGACUGGGAUAACUUCGGGAAACCGGAGCUAAUACCGGAUAAUAUAUUGAACCGCAUGGUUCAAUAGUGAAAGACGGUUUUGCUGUCACUUAUAGAUGGUUCCGCGCCGCAUUAGCUAGUUGGUAAGGUAACGGCUUACCAAGGCAACGAUGCGUAGCCGACCUGAGAGGGUGAUCGGCCACACUGGAACUGAGACACGGUCCAGACUCCUACGGGAGGCAGCAGUAGGGAAUCUUCCGCAAUGGGCGAAAGCCUGACGGAGCAACGCCGCGUGAGUGAUGAAGGUCUUCGGAUCGUAAAACUCUGUUAUUAGGGAAGAACAAAUGUGUAAGUAACUAUGCACGUCUUGACGGUACCUAAUCAGAAAGCCACGGCUAACUACGUG